UACAGAGGGUGCGAGCGUUAAUCGGAAUUACUGGGCGUAAAGCGCGCGUAGGCGGCUUUGCAAGUCGGGUGUGAAAUCCCCAGGCUUAACCUGGGAACUGCCAUGGAUACUAUAGGUCUUGAAUACUGUGGAGGUCAGCGGAAUAUGUCAUGUAGCGGUGAAAUGCUUAGAUAUGACAUAGAACACCAAUUGCGAAGGCAGCUGGCUACACAAAUAUUGACACUGAGGCACGAAAGCGUGGGGAUCAAACAGG
rnacentral:rRNA from 1 species